CAUCUAUGGUAGAGGGGAGGGAUUGGAAACAUCUCAGGUGGCCAAUGUAUUGCCCUAGAGAAUUCUGACACCAUGCGUGUUGCAUUCCGCAAGUAUUGAUUGCGAUUGAUUGCGAGCCAGAUGCAAAGACAAAAGAGAAGAAAGUGAAGAAAACUGCAGGGUACUCAGAAAAUCAGAAAAUCUGCCAAGACCCUUUUAUGCCAACGGCAGAGGGGAGGGACACAUGAUAACCCCACUGUUAUGUAUUAUGAUUAGUAAAUUCUUUUGCAAGAGCUAAACAGUGACCGAUGACGAGAAUACACCAUUGCCUAAAAGGGCGUCAGGCUCAUAAAAAUUAUGUUUUGUGUUUGUAAACAUUUUUAUGUAAACAUCAAAAUUGUGUGAUUGUGUGAAAGUCAUAAUGUUAUGAGGCAGUCUA